rfam:Alphaproteobacteria bacterium RIFOXYD12_FTLL_60_8 rifoxyd3_full_scaffold_3211, whole genome shotgun sequence.
UCCGGAGUAGCUCAGCGGUAGAGCAAUCGGCUGUUAACCGAUUGGUCGGGGGUUCGAAUCCCUCCUCCGGAG